rnacentral:rRNA from 1 species
CCUACGGGAGGCAGCAGUGGGGAAUAUUGGACAAUGGGGGCAACCCUGAUCCAGCCAUGCCGCGUGUGUGAAGAAGGCCCUCGGGUUGUAAAGCACUUUCAGCGAGGAAGAACGCCUAGUGGUUAAUACCCAUUAGGAAAGACAUCACUCGCAGAAGAAGCACCGGCUAACUCCGUGCCAGCAGCCGCGGUAAUACGGAGGGUGCAAGCGUUAAUCGGAAUUACUGGGCGUAAAGCGCGCGUAGGUGGCUUGAUAAGCCGGUUGUGAAAGCCCCGGGCUCAACCUGGGAACGGCAUCCGGAACUGUCAAGCUAGAGUGCAGGAGAGGAAGGUAGAAUUCCCGGUGUAGCGGUGAAAUGCGUAGAGAUCGGGAGGAAUACCAGUGGCGAAGGCGGCCUUCUGGACUGACACUGACACUGAGGUGCGAAAGCGUGGGUAGCAAACAGGAUUAGAUACCCUGG